GACGAACGCUGGCGGCGUGCUUAACACAUGCAAGUCGAACGGAAAGGCCCUGCUUUUGUGGGGUGCUCGAGUGGCGAACGGGUGAGUAACACGUGAGUAACCUGCCCUUGACUUUGGGAUAACUUCAGGAAACUGGGGCUAAUACCGGAUAGGAGCUCCUGCUGCAUGGUGGGGGUUGGAAAGUUUCGGCGGUUGGGGAUGGACUCGCGGCUUAUCAGCUUGUUGGUGGGGUAGUGGCUUACCAAGGCUUUGACGGGUAGCCGGCCUGAGAGGGUGACCGGCCCAAUGGGGACUGGGAUACGGCCCAGCCUCCUACGGGGGGCAGGAGGGGGGAAUUUUGCAAAAGGGGCGGAAGCCUGAUGCAGCAACGCCGGGGGGGGGAUGGCGGCCUUGGGGUUGUAAACCGCUUUCGCCUGUGACGAAGGGGGAGUGACGGUAAUGGGUAAAGAAGCACCGGCUAACUACGU
rnacentral:rRNA from 1 species